rnacentral:rRNA from 1 species
AUGAACGCUGGCGGCGUGCCUAAUACAUGCAAGUCGAGCGAACAGAUCAGGAGCUUGCUCCUUUGACGUUAGCGGCGGACGGGUGGGUAACACGUGGGUAACCUACCUAUAAGACUGGGAUAACUUCGGGAAACCGGAGCUAAUACCGGAUAACAUUUGGAACCGCAUGGUUCUAAAGUGAAAGAUGGUUUUGCUAUCACUUAUAGAUGGACCCGCGCCGUAUUAGCUAGUUGGUAAGGUAACGGCUUACCAAGGCGACGAUACGUAGCCGACCUGAGAGGGUGAUCGGCCACACUGGAACUGAGACACGGUCCAGACUCCUACGGGAGGCAGCAGUAGGGAAUCUUCCGCAAUGGGCGAAAGCCUGACGGAGCAACGCCGCGUGAGUGAUGAAGGGUUUCGGCUCGUAAAACUCUGUUAUUAGGGAAGAACAAAUGUGUAAGUAACUGUGCACGUCUUGACGGUACCUAAUCAGAAAGCCACGGCUAACUACGUG